rnacentral:tRNA from 2 species
GCGAAAGUGGUGGAACUGGCAGACUCGCUAGAUUCAGGUUCUAGUGUCCGCAAGGGCGUGCGGGUUCAAAUCCCGCCUUUCGCACCA